CUACGUGCCAGCAGCCGCGGUAAUACGGAGGGUGCGAGCGUUAAUCAGAAUAACUGGGCGUAAAGGGCACGCAGGCGGCUAUUUAAGUGAGGUGUGAAAUCCCCGGGCUUAACCUGGGAAUUGCAUUUCAGACUGGGUAGCUAGAGUACUUUAGGGAGGGGUAGAAUUCCACGUGUAGCGGUGAAAUGCGUAGAGAUGUGGAGGAAUACCGAAGGCGAAGGCAGCCCCUUGGGAAUGUACUGACGCUCAUGUGCGAAAGCGUGGGGAGCAAACAGGAUUAGAUACCCUGGUAGUCCACGCUGUAAACGCUGUCGAUUUGGGGAUUGGGCCUUGAGCUUGGUGCCCGAAGCUAACGUGAUAAAUCGACCGCCUGGGGAGUACGGCCGCAAGGUUAAAACUCAAAUGAAUUGACGGGGGCCCGCACAAGCGGUGGAGCAUGUGGUUUAAUUCGAUGCAACGCGAAGAACCUUACCUACUCUUGACAUCC
rnacentral:rRNA from 1 species